UACGUAGGGGGCAAGCGUUGUCCGGAAUCAUUGGGCGUAAAGCGCGUGUAGGCGGCUUGGCAAGUCGGAUGUGAAAGCCCACGGCUCAACCGUGGAAGCGCAUCCGAAACGGCCUCGCUCGAGUCUCGGAGAGGAAGGUGGAAUGCUUGGUGUAGAGGUGAAAUUCGUAGAUAUCAAGCAGAACACCUGCGGCGAAGGCGGCCUUCUGGACGAUGACUGACGCUGAGACGCGAAAGCGUGGGGAGCAAACAGG
rnacentral:rRNA from 1 species